CCUCAAGUGUUCCACCCGCCUUGGCCUCCCAAAGUGCUGGGAUUACAGGCAUGAGCCCACUGCACCUGGCCCUCUCUGGAAAUUAUUUUAAUAAGUGGAAAAAGAACAUUAACCUCUCCCCAUCUUCUCAGUGUGUCUUUUUAUUAUGUCUUUGCUGAAAUAAUGUAGAAUUGUGUUUUUUAGGUAAAUAUUGCAGAUUUUCAAGAGAAUCAGUGGGUGACUUGUUUCCAGGAGUCUGCCGAAGCUAUCCUUGGACAAAAUGCUGCUUAUCUUGGGGAAUUAAAAGACAAGAAUGAACAGGCAUUUGAAGAAGUUUUCCAGAAUGCCAACUUCCGAUCUUUCAUAUUCAGAGUCAGGGUCAAAGUGGAGACCUACAACGACGAGUCUCGAAUUAAGGCCACUGUGAUGGACGUGAAGCCCGUGGACUACAGAGAGUAUGGCCGAAGGCUGGUCAUGAGCAUCAGGAGAAGUGCAUUGAUGUGAGGGGAGCAGUGCCGAUCGGGCAGAAGUUUGCAAAUAAAGAGGCAGAAUGGAAUCGAUUUCCUCCCACCUCCGUGUGACGAUCCCAUGUUAGCUACACAGUGCAGAGGCUCUUGAUGGUGGACUAAGCAAUUUCCUCUCUCGUGCGCAUCUCAGAACCCAUCGGUAGGCAAAGGAAAAUACACUCAGGUGGUUGUGGUGUAGACUGUGUCAGGCCUAGGGAGUCAGCCGGUGGUUAGUGUAAGACCAGUCACUCCCUCUGCCUUCAGGCUUCUGUCAAUUUCAUUAUCAUCAAGCAGGAAUUAUGUCGUAAGUCACUGACCCUAACUGCAGACCAUGAAGUAAAUUAUGUAGCUAGGUUUUUGCUU
rnacentral:sRNA from 1 species